UACGAGGGGUGCAAGCGUUGUUCGGAAUCACUGGGCGUAAAGGGAGCGUAGGCGGAAGUGCAAGCAAUCUGUAUAAUCCUGGGGCCCAACCCCAGUUCUGCAGAUUGGACUGUAUUUCUUGAAUAGUUCAGAGGCAAGCGGAAUUUCUGGUGUAGCGGUGGAAUGCGUAGAGAUCAGAAAGAACACCAAUGGCGAAGGCAGCUUGCUGGGGACUUAUUGACGCUGAGGCUCGAAAGUGUGGGUAGCAAACAGGAUUAGAUACCCUGGUAGUCCACACUGUAAACGAUGCAUACUGGGUGUCCGAAAUUCGUUUCGGGUACCGUAGCUAACGCGUUAAGUAUGCCGCCUGGGGAGUACGUACGCAAGUAUGAA
rnacentral:rRNA from 1 species